UGCAAGUCGAACGAACUUCCGUUAAUUGAUUAUGACGUACUUGUACUGAUUGAGAUUUUAACACGAAGUGAGUGGCGAACGGGUGAGUAACACGUGGGUAACCUGCCCAGAAGUAGGGGAUAACACCUGGAAACAGAUGCUAAUACCGUAUAACAGAGAAAACCGCAUGGUUUUCUUUUAAAAGAUGGCUCUGCUAUCACUUCUGGAUGGACCCGCGGCGUAUUAGCUAGUUGGUGAGGUAAAGGCUCACCAAGGCAGUGAUACGUAGCCGACCUGAGAGGGUAAUCGGCCACAUUGGGACUGAGACACGGCCCAGACUCCUACGGGAGGCAGCAGUAGGGAAUCUUCCACAAUGGACGCAAGUCUGAUGGAGCAACGCCGCGUGAGUGAAGAAGGGUUUCGGCUCGUAAAGCUCUGUUGUUAAAGAAGAACGUGGGUAAGAGUAACUGUUUACCCAGUGACGGUAUUUAACCAGAAAGCCACGGCUAACUACGUGCCAGCAGCCGCGGUAAUACGUAGGUGGCAAGCGUUAUCCGGAUUUAUUGGGCGUAAAGCGAGCGCAGGCGGUCUUUUAAGUCUAAUGUGAAAGCCUUCGGCUCAACCGAAGAAGUGCAUUGGAAACUGGGAGACUUGAGUGCAGAAGAGGACAGUGGAACUCCAUGUGUAGCGGUGAAAUGCGUAGAUAUAUGGAAGAACACCAGUGGCGAAGGCGGCUGUCUGGUCUGCAACUGACGCUGAGGCUCGAAAGCAUGGGUAGCGAACAGGAUUAGAUACCCUGGUAGUCCAUGCCGUAAACGAUGAUUACUAAGUGUUGGAGGGUUUCCGCCCUUCAGUGCUGCAGCUAACGCAUUAAGUAAUCCGCCUGGGGAGUACGACCGCAAGGUUGAAACUCAAAAGAAUUGACGGGGGCCCGCACAAGCGGUGGAGCAUGUGGUUUAAUUCGAAGCUACGCGAAGAACCUUACCAGGUCUUGACAUCUUCUGACAGUCUAAGAGAUUAGAGGUUCCCUUCGGGGACAGAAUGACAGGUGGUGCAUGGUUGUCGUCAGCUCGUGUCGUGAGAUGUUGGGUUAAGUCCCGCAACGAGCGCAACCCUUAUUACUAGUUGCCAGCAUUAAGUUGGGCACUCUAGUGAGACUGCCGGUGACAAACCGGAGGAAGGUGGGGACGACGUCAAAUCAUCAUGCCCCUUAUGACCUGGGCUACACACGUGCUACAAUGGAUGGUACAACGAGUCGCGAGACCGCGAGGUUAAGCUAAUCUCUUAAAACCAUUCUCAGUUCGGACUGUAGGCUGCAACUCGCCUACACGAAGUCGGAAUCGCUAGUAAUCGCGGAUCAGCAUGCCGCGGUGAAUACGUUCCCGGGCCUUGUACACACCGCCCGUCACACCAUGAGAGUUUGUAACACCCAAAGCCGGUGGGGUAACCU
rnacentral:rRNA from 1 species